rnacentral:rRNA from 1 species
ACGUGCCUACAACAUAGAGUUAAUGCACUAGAUCCCAUUAGAAAUCCACAAUGAAGCGUGCUCGGGCUAGAGUAGUACUAGGAUGGGUGAUCACCCAGGAAGUCCUAGUGUUUUACAUGUC